UUUCAGCUCGGAGGUCGGGCCCUGUGAUGGAGCACGCUCUGCUCAAUGACGAGAGGGUUCUGAAGGAGAUCCAGAGCACGCUGGAGGGAGACCGAGGGAGCUGUGGCGAUUGGCGUUCUCAGCGCGUGGCCGUGGGGUACAGCCUCAGCAACGGGGGAGCGGAGUGAACGGGACGCGUGUGCAGCCUGCACAGUGAUCACACUACUGAGGGCUCCUCUGCGGGGCCCCACCCACCUGGGGAAGCCCAGCACGCGCCGUGCAGGGGCUGGGGGCACCCCAGGGUCCAGCCUGCUGCUGCUCCUGGCCCUGGGAGAGGAGGGACCCCUCGGCCCAGGGCUGCCCCUCCCAGGGCUCUGACUCUCCUGGUCCUUUUGUCAAUGUUGCACAGUUUUGAACCCCCCUUCCCCCCUUCCCCUUUUGUAGUGGGUUGGGUUUUAAAUUAUAAAUGUUAAUUGCCUCCGGGUGAAAAAGUUUUUAAUAAACACCUUAUUACCUCUUCACCAGGCUGGUCCAAAGAUUUUAAUUUUUUUUUUUUUAACUUGUGUAGAGAUUUUCCAUGUAAAUAGAAACGAUGGUUAGCUGGUUCCUUGCCUUUGCCCUCUGGGAUCUGUCCCCUGGACCAGGCUGGUGCUCAGGAGAAUCUGUCGGUUCUUUUCAGCUAUUUGGAAUCAGAUACACGAACAGUACAUGCUUGUGUCUGAACACCACGUGCCUUCUCUCUUUGGGAAUAAACAAUAACCAGUUAACCGA